rnacentral:tRNA from 1 species
GGUUCCGUGGUGUAGGGGUUAACAUGCCUGCCUGUCACGCAGGAGAUCGCGGGUUCAAAUCCCGUCGGGACCA